GAUGAACGCUGGCGGCGUGCCUAAUACAUGCAAGUCGAGCGAACGGACGAGAAGCUUGCUUCUCUGAUGUUAGCGGCGGACGGGUGAGUAACACGUGGAUAACCUACCUAUAAGACUGGGAUAACUUCGGGAAACCGUAGCUAAUACCGGAUAAUAUUUUGAACCGCAUGGUACAAAAGUGAAAGACGGUCUUGCUGUCACUUAUAGAUGGAUCCGCGCUGCAUUAGCUAGUUGGUAAGGUAACGGCUUACCAAGGCAACGAUGCAUAGCCGACCUGAGAGGGUGAUCGGCCACACUGGAACUGAGACACGGUCCAGACUCCUACGGGAGGCAGCAGUAGGGAAUCUUCCGCAAUGGGCGAAAGCCUGACGGAGCAACGCCGCGUGAGUGAUGAAGGUCUUCGGAUCGUAAAACUCUGUUAUUAGGGAAGAACAUAUGUGUAAGUAACUGUGCACAUCUUGACGGUACCUAAUCAGAAAGCCACGGCUAACUACGUG
rnacentral:rRNA from 1 species